UACCCCCUGCUGCUCCAGGGAAGGUCACAAGUCCGUAGCGCAACAAUUCAGGACCUCUUCAAACGCGUGAGCAGCCGGCCGCUGAGGCCUUCUUCAGCCCUCGACGGUCGCUCGUUUUCGUGCCUGCUAAAGAUAGCGCUAAGCGCUAGUGGACCGUUGGUGCCUACCCCGAACGUGUUUUUUAAGCCUCUGUGCAUCGAACGACGCACGGAAGUCAGUGGUUUAACUACCUUUUUUUUUGUUGUUUGUUGUAGCUUCGAUAGAUUCCAGCAGGUCGGUGAUCUGGAAAUCCUCGUAGAAACCACCUUUCAUUAUGCAUCGUGUCCUGUCCAGAACAGGUUGUAUUUUUAUUUUUCGUUAACUUCCGGCAGGAAUACGUACUUAACGGUUCUUGCCGGAUUCAAGGGUAGGGAAGGCCGAUCACGUUGCAGCUUGCUGCACUGCCCUUGUCAUCCGGCAAGCCUUCUUUCUCCCAAAAAGACGUACACUAGAGUCCUUUUUCUUUACUACCGCCUUCGGCGGAAAUCUCUAGUACUAGCGAAAUGCAUCGUCAUCUAGUCAGUGACGCGCAUGACUGGAUUACCGAGAUUCCCACUGUCCCUAUCUACUAUCGAGCGAAACCACAGCCGAGGAAACGGGCUUGGAGAAAUCAGC
rnacentral:ncRNA from 1 species